GACUCUGUGGCGCAAUUGGUAGCGCAUCUGAUUCCAGUCCAGAAGGUUAUCCGUUCGAGUCGGGUCAGGGUCA